GACGAAACUGGGCAGAUUCUGUGGAAACCAAUUACCAAGAAGCCUGGUAUCAUCUGGACUCAAACUCUUCAUCGUGUUUCACUCGGAUUAUAGCGUGUCAGCACCGGGAUUUGUUCUGAACUAUUCAACACCAUUAGAUGUAAAUGAAUGUUACUUUGGAACACACAACUGCGCUAUUGGAGCGUCAUGUGUCAAUACGAAUGAAUCGUUUUACUGCAUUUGUGAAAACGGUUAUACCGGAGAUGGCGUAACCUGCACAGAUAUCAAUGAAUGUGAACUUGGAAUUGAUAACUGUCAUUCUCAAGCAUCAUGUCGCAAUACCAAUGGGUCGUUCGACUGUUCUUGCAACUUUGGCUUUAGUGGAGAUGGAAUAGCAUGCAACGCGACAAGACCUUCUAAUACAUCUAAUCCAGG
rnacentral:lncRNA from 1 species